UACGGAAGGCAGCAGUGGGGAAUAUUGCACAAUGGGCGCAAGCCUGAUGCAGCCAUGCCGCGUGUAUGAAGAAGGCCUUCGGGUUGUAAAGUACUUUCAGCGGGGAGGAAGGCGAUGCGGUUAAUAACCGCGUCGAUUGACGUUACCCGCAGAAGAAGCACCGGCUAACUCCGUGCCAGCAGCCGCGGUAAUACGGAGGGUGCAAGCGUUAAUCGGAAUUACUGGGCGUAAAGCGCACGCAGGCGGUCUGUUAAGUCAGAUGUGAAAUCCCCGGGCUUAACCUGGGAACUGCAUUUUGAAACUGGCAGGCUUGAGUCUUGUAGAGGGGGUAGAAUUCCAGGUGUAGCGGUGAAAUGCGUAGAGAUCUGGAGGAAUACCGGUGGCGAAGGCGGCCCCUGGGACAAGACUGACGCUCAGGUGCGAAAGCGUGGGGAGCAAACAGGGAUUAGAUACC
rnacentral:rRNA from 1 species